rnacentral:rRNA from 1 species
UGGGGAAUUUUGGACAAUGGGCGAAAGCCUGAUCCAGCAAUGCCGCGUGUGUGAAGAAGGCCUUCGGGUUGUAAAGCACUUUUGUCCGGAAAGAAAUCCUUGGCUCUAAUACAGUCGGGGGAUGACGGUACCGGAAGAAUAAGCACCGGCUAACUACGUGCCAGCAGCCGCGGUAAUACGUAGGGUGCAAGCGUUAAUCGGAAUUACUGGGCGUAAAGCGUGCGCAGGCGGUUUGCUAAGACCGAUGUGAAAUCCCCGGGCUCAACCUGGGAACUGCAUUGGUGACUGGCAGGCUAGAGUAUGGCAGAGGGGGGUAGAAUUCCACGUGUAGCAGUGAAAUGCGUAGAGAUGUGGAGGAAUACCGAUGGCGAAGGCAGCCCCCUGGGCCAAUACUGACGCUCAUGCACGAAAGCGUGGGGAGCAAACAGGAUUAGAUACCCUGGUAGUCCACGCCCUAAACGAUGUCAACUAGUUGUUGGGGAUUCAUUUCCUUAGUAACGUAGCUAACGCGUGAAGUUGACCGCCUGGGGAGUACGGUCGCAAGAUUAAAACUCAAAGGAAUUGACGGGGUCAAGCUG